UUAAGCGACUAAGCGUACACGGUGGAUGCCCUGGCAGUCAGAGGCGAUGAAGGACGUGCUAAUCUGCGAAAAGCGCCGGCGAGGUGAUAUGAACCCUUGACCCGGCGAUGUCCGAAUGGGGAAACCCAGUGCAAUCCGUUGCACUAUCGUUAACUGAAUACAUAGGUUAACGAGGCGAACCGGGGGAACUGAAACAUCUAAGUACCCCGAGGAAAAGAAAUCAACCGAGAUUCCCCCAGUAGCGGCGAGCGAACGGGGAGCAGCCCGGAGUCUGAAUCAGCUUGUGUGUUAGUGGAACGGUCUGGAAAGUCCGACGGUACAGGGUGAUAGUCCCGUACACGAAAGCACACAUGCUGUGAACUCGAAGAGUAGGGCGGGACACGUGGUAUCCUGUCUGAAUAUGGGGGGACCAUCCUCCAAGGCUAAAUACUCCUGACUGACCGAUAGUGAACCAGUACCGUGAGGGAAAGGCGAAAAGAACCCCGGCGAGGGGAGUGAAAAAGAACCUGAAACCGUGUACGUACAAGCAGUGGGAGCCUCUUUAUGGGGUGACUGCGUACCUUUUGUAUAAUGGGUCAGCGACUUAUAUUCUGUAGCAAGGUUAACCGUAUAGGGGAGCCGAAGGGAAACCGAGUCUUAACUGGGCGUUAAGUUGCAGGGUAUAGACCCGAAACCCGGUGAUCUAGCCAUGGGCAGGUUGAAGGUUGGGUAACACUAACUGGAGGACCGAACCGACUAAUGUUGAAAAAUUAGCGGAUGACCUGUGGCUGGGGGUGAAAGGCCAAUCAAACCGGGAGAUAGCUGGUUCUCCCCGAAAGCUAUUUAGGUAGCGCCUCGUGAAUUCAUCUUCGGGGGUAGAGCACUGUUUCGGCUAGGGGGCCAUCCCGGCUUACCAACCCGAUGCAAACUACGAAUACCGAAGAAUGUUAUCACGGGAGACACACGGCGGGUGCUAACGUCCGUCGUGAAGAGGGAAACAACCCAGACCGCCAGCUAAGGUCCCAAAGUCAUGGUUAAGUGGGAAACGAUGUGGGAAGGCACAGACAGCCAGGAUGUUGGCUUAGAAGCAGCCAUCAUUUAAAGAAAGCGUAAUAGCUCACUGGUCGAGUCGGCCUGCGCGGAAGAUGUAACGGGGCUAAACCAUGCACCGAAGCUGCGGCAGCGACACUUAUGUGUUGUUGGGUAGGGGAGCGUUCUGUAAGCCGUUGAAGGUGUGCUGUGAGGCAUGCUGGAGGUAUCAGAAGUGCGAAUGCUGACAUAAGUAACGAUAAAGCGGGUGAAAAGCCCGCUCGCCGGAAGACCAAGGGUUCCUGUCCAACGUUAAUCGGGGCAGGGUGAGUCGACCCCUAAGGCGAGGCCGAAAGGCGUAGUCGAUGGGAAACAGGUUAAUAUUCCUGUACUUGGUGUUACUGCGAAGGGGGGACGGAGAAGGCUAUGUCAGCCGGGCGACGGUUGUCCCGGUUUAAGCAUGUAGGCGGAGGUUCCAGGUAAAUCCGGUACCUUAUUAACGCUGAGGUGUGAUGACGAGGCACUACGGUGCUGAAGUGAUAAAUGCCCUGCUUCCAGGAAAAGCCUCUAAGCAUCAGGUAACACGAAAUCGUACCCCAAACCGACACAGGUGGUCAGGUAGAGAAUACCAAGGCGCUUGAGAGAACUCGGGUGAAGGAACUAGGCAAAAUGGUGCCGUAACUUCGGGAGAAGGCACGCUGAUGUGUAGGUGAAGCCCCUGCGGGUGGAGCUGAAAUCAGUCGAAGAUACCAGCUGGCUGCAACUGUUUAUUAAAAACACAGCACUGUGCAAACACGAAAGUGGACGUAUACGGUGUGACGCCUGCCCGGUGCCGGAAGGUUAAUUGAUGGGGUUAGCGGCAACGCGAAGCUCUUGAUCGAAGCCCCGGUAAACGGCGGCCGUAACUAUAACGGUCCUAAGGUAGCGAAAUUCCUUGUCGGGUAAGUUCCGACCUGCACGAAUGGCGUAAUGAUGGCCAGGCUGUCUCCACCCGAGACUCAGUGAAAUUGAACUCGCUGUGAAGAUGCAGUGUACCCGCGGCAAGACGGAAAGACCCCGUGAACCUUUACUAUAGCUUGACACUGAACACUGGUCCUUGAUGUGUAGGAUAGGUGGGAGGCUUUGAAGCGUGGACGCCAGUCUGCGUGGAGCCGACCUUGAAAUACCACCCUUUAAUGGCUGGUGUUCUAACGUAGACCCGUAAUCCGGGUUGCGGACAGUGUCUGGUGGGUAGUUUGACUGGGGCGGUCUCCUCCCAAAGAGUAACGGAGGAGCACGAAGGUUGGCUAAUCCUGGUCGGACAUCAGGAGGUUAGUGCAAUGGCAUAAGCCAGCUUGACUGCGAGCGUGACGGCGCGAGCAGGUGCGAAAGCAGGUCAUAGUGAUCCGGUGGUUCUGAAUGGAAGGGCCAUCGCUCAACGGAUAAAAGGUACUCCGGGGAUAACAGGCUGAUACCGCCCAAGAGUUCAUAUCGACGGCGGUGUUUGGCACCUCGAUGUCGGCUCAUCACAUCCUGGGGCUGAAGUAGGUCCCAAGGGUAUGGCUGUUCGCCAUUUAAAGUGGUACGCGAGCUGGGUUUAGAACGUCGUGAGACAGUUCGGUCCCUAUCUGCCGUGGGCGCUGGAGAAUUGAGGGGGGCUGCUCCUAGUACGAGAGGACCGGAGUGGACGCAUCACUGGUGUUCGGGUUGUCAUGCCAAUGGCACUGCCCGGUAGCUAAAUGCGGAAGAGAUAAGUGCUGAAAGCAUCUAAGCACGAAACUUGCCCCGAGAUGAGUUCUCCCUGACCCUUUAAGGGUCCUGAAGGAACGUUGAAGACGACGACGUUGAUAGGUCGGGUGUGUAAGCGCAGCGAUGCGUUGAGCUAACCGAUACUAAUGAACCGUGAGGCUUAACCUU
rnacentral:rRNA from 1 species